rnacentral:lncRNA from 15 species
CUCCCCCUCUUCCAAAACAGAGCCACAUACAAUGUCAUCACCUGGUAAUCUCAUGCUAAUGUUAACGUUCACUGACUUUUAUAAUGUUACGUUAGGUUACUUUAACGUUACAUCACUUCACACACACACACACACACACACACACACACACACAGCCAAGUCUACUGCCAGUUCGUAAUAACUUGUGUUUGAGUCUGCACGCAUUUUUCCCCCAUUCAGUGUCAAAAUCUGGGACAUUUUCGGGGGCAGCUUUGACUGGGGACAGGUCACCCAAAACGGGGACUGUCCCCGGAAAUCGGGGACGUCUGGUCAGCAUCACUGAGGCUCCUGUAGCUAACAAUGGCUAGCAUGUGCUAGCGUUACACGAACAAUGAAAAAAAGCAUAAAUUCUUAAAAAUACUUCCAGUUACUUCCUCUGCCGUCUCUCCACAGACCGUUGGUAUGAAUCCCUCUUUCAGGAACUCUAGCCGGACAUUGUCAUCAAAAAUAAAAAUAAAUCCAGUGGCUCAUACAUAUGUAGAUUUGUGUUGGGCUGUGCAGCCAAUGACUGAACAGUUUGUCUGCUGAAGCCUUUGCCCAGGCUUGAGGCUGGCAGGCAGCAGGCUGCAGGCUGCUGGCUGGGCUGCUUGCUUGUUCUCCGCUAGCUUGCUCUUUUAUAAUGACAAUGGCGGAGCUCCGAUAGUCAAGAAGGAAGUAAACUGUGGUCUGUCAAUAACAGGGAAAACGUCAAUAACGGGGAAAAAUCUCAACAGACUGCUUUAUCUCCUGUAUUUUUACUGAGGCAGCUCACAAAAACAUGACUGAGUCAUUUUUUUCCACACUUUGCCUGCUGAUAGGCCCUCCAGAUAUAAUCAAAUGAUUAAAAAGUUGGUUUUGCAUAAUAUGUCCCCUUUAAAAGUGCUCAUUAAAAUGAAGGGAAGAGGCCCAGACUUUGACUCAGUCGGCCCACUGAAAAUGUCAAAGGAUCUUAGAGCAGAAAUAGAUGAGGUGUGCUGCACACUGGCAGGGGCGAUGCGGAAAACCAAAGUCGUGCAAAGAGGAAGUGAGAAGCAGCAUCUGCAUUAAUCCCAGUGAAAAAGUUCUUCAAGGGAGACCAACAGUUCAGUGACGGAAUGAACUUUAGCUGCCCAUGCUUGGAAUAGGGUCUGCAGAAAAUGAAGACAGCUUCCUCUCGAGACUGAGAGAGAGAUUGAGAGCGAAAGCAAGAAGAGUCAUAAAGGAAGUGAGGACAAAUACAGUUGCUGGCCAGACUUGUGCAUCAAAUUAGGGCAGGACACAAAGGUUAGUUUGGUUGGGAAUUUAGUAAACUGCACGGCAAAUGGUAAAAUGCCAUUAUACCAGUUUUACUACAUAAUAGAGCUGUAGCUGUGAAUAGUAAAGGGAAGACAUUCACAUUCUAAGGCAGAUGCUUUUUUUCAAAAUGUAAGAACUAAUGUGAGCAAUGUUAGGUAAAGAUACCACACCAGGAUAUCCAGUAUUAGAACCUGGUUUCAUGUCCAACUCAUCAACUACUGCUUCUUGGUUUCCACUUCAAAAUAUGAUGCUGUAGCUUGCCCUUUCGCAUCAUUUCUGAACGCACAGAGCUCUGUGGUCAACUUAGAAAGAAUAUGCAAUGUUUGGUUAGACUUUCAAAAUGAAGCUUAACAUUGUGAAACUGUCACAGUUUCGUUAAGGUCAAGGUACAAAAAGUACUUGGUUAGGCCUAGGAAAAGAUCAUUAAUAAAGUACCUGACGUAACUUAAGUUCAAUAAUAGAACGUAAUUUAUGUAACAUACUUGAGGUAACAACCGCAAGCUCUGUUGUUUUUAGCCAUGAUGACAGUGUGACUCUGUGGAUGGCGAUGUCACAACUAGUUGGAUUGUCAUAAAAUUUGAUACCAACAUGGUGCCCAGAGGAUGACUUGCAAUCAUUUUGGUGAUCCUCUGACUUUUUAUCUAGCGCCAUCAUCAGAUAAAAAUUUUACUACUUUUACUAAACUUUACUUUUACUUUCAUUUAUGACCAAGAAGGUGCAAAACUAAUGACAUUCUCAUCAGCCUCAGCUGUACUAUGUGUCACUGUGAACUGACUACCUGCUAAACAUAAGCAUUUUAGGAUUAUAAUUGUGAGAAAGUUAGCAUGACUGUAGACUCUUUCUCAAGUUCAAUUUUAAGCCUGGAAUGGCACUCAUAAACAUGGUUUAUUAAGACGAAUAGAAAUCAUACAACGCAUGAUCACAGAUGGCUUAGCAUACAGAGAACAGGAGAAAACCAUGCAUAUUUUUAUCCUUAUCAGAGUGGAUUUAGCAAUGGACUAUCAACCAUAAAGAAGCAGUAUUAGUAGAGUUUCUGGACUCAGGAAAAGCACAUGGAGAUUCAUAAGCAAUAUUUAUUUUAAAAAUAAAACAGCUUUUCAGCUGUUUGAAAUAAUCUUGUGGUUUUUUAAGGGGGUUUUCCCAAAUUUUGUUAAAUUGGCCUUUAGAAACAGGGGUUUCGGCUUCCGUCAAGAAUAGACCAGCCACAUAUUCUGAAGGAAUCUCGAGCAUUGUGCGAUCAGCUCAGGUUUUGCAGCUGUGACCGGUCGUAUUAGUGGCAGUACCAAAUAGCUGGAGUACCCCUUUGAAAAAUCACCAGUACUUGCUGUCCCCUCCGGUUGUAUUCCCAUUGACUGGUUCAUUAAAAAGAAUGUGUUGUUUCUUGCAUGUAAAAUUCUACACUUUGGAUGUUUGAUCUAUUGACCAAUAGUCUCUCUGGAUAUUGUUAAGGUCUAUGCAUCUGUGCAAUUAGGGUGAUUAAUGUUUAGGUGACUGUUGAGUUUAGGUUUUGGAAUGAAUAUUCUUAUGAGAACAUAAUCUAGGACAGUUAGUGGAAGUUGUCUUCUGUUUACAUUGAGCAGCACAAGUGAAACCCACUUUUAAUCCAUAGUGCUAUACAUUCAAAGCACAGAUCUGUGUAGCCUCAACUUCAACCAUGUUAUGUUCUAGUGAAAAUCACAAUUGAAAUACUAAUAAUUAAUAAUUCUACCUAGAAGCAGAGCUAGUGGAGGACAGAUAAAACUCUCGCUGCUCUGUUCUCACCAGGAGGUUGUCAUAAACCCACUGCUUCUCUUUCUGAACAGCCUCCUUCUCAGCUUCCUCUCCUAGAACAAGCAGAGAAAAAUCACAGAAUUUCACUCAUUCGGUUUUAUUCAGUUAUUUCCUCCAUGCAUUGCCUGCAUGAUCACAAGCCUAUAUCUGCUGCAUCUGAAUAUCAUGUCUCCUAUUAGUAGUAAUUAAGUUAAGCAUUUAUUUGUUUUCAUCUGAAGAUGAAAGAGCGGCACAUGGUUUACAUUAGCUGACACUGAGCAAUAAGUAACAUAUUUGUGGCUAUUAUUCUGACUGAUUUAUUUUCUAACAUUCAGGAAGUCAACCCAGCCAAGGGAAGAGUUUAAUUUUUUUGCAACAUUUCAGGCUUCGUGAAAUUUACUUCACCAUAUUCAAUUCAGUUGUAUUUGUAUAGUGCCAAUUCAUAACAGAAGUUAUCUCAGGACACUUUUCAAAUAGAGCAGGUCUAGACCGAACUCCUUAUAACAUUAUUUACAGAGACCCAACAGUUCCCACCAUGAGCAAGCACUUGGCGACGGCGAACUUCCUUUUAAGAGGCAGAAACCUCGGACAGACCCCGGCUCUAGGUGGGUGGUCGUCUGCCUCGACCAGUUGGGGUGAGAAAGAGAGAGAGAAAGAAAGACAGAGGGAGACAGAGACAAAGGUUCACAGCAACAACAUUAGCAACAACUACACUAAUAGUAGUGACCGAUGAUGAUGACAAUGACAACAACAAUGGGGGAUGAGCAGUGAUUAUAGUAAUAAUAGUAACUGUAGUAAUAAUAAUAAUAAUAAUAAUAAUAAUAACAAUAUCAGUGAUAUUGGGAGUCAAGCAGGACCAUGGCAGGAGGCUCCACCAGGAUCCAUGAGAACCUGCGAGAGGAGAAAGCACAAGAACUCCGGGGAAGAAGUGAAGUUAGUAACAUGCAUUAAUGGGACAUGAAUGAGUGCAGAAAGAGAGAAAGAGGAAGAGAGGAGCUCAAUGCAUCAUGGGAAAUCCCCCGAUAGUCUAGGCCUGCAGCAGCAUAACUAAGGGAUGGUUC